AGGACGAACGCUGGCGGCGUGCUUAACACAUGCAAGUCGAGCGGUAAGGCCUUUCGGGGUACACGAGCGGCGAACGGGUGAGUAACACGUGGGUGAUCUGCCCUGCACUCUGGGAUAAGCCUGGGAAACUGGGUCUAAUACCGGAUAUGACCUGCUCUCGCAUGGGGGUGGGUGGAAAGAUUUAUCGGUGCAGGAUGGGCCCGCGGCCUAUCAGCUUGUUGGUGGGGUAAUGGCCUACCAAGGCGACGACGGGUAGCCGACCUGAGAGGGUGACCGGCCACACUGGGACUGAGACACGGCCCAGACUCCUACGGGAGGCAGCAGUGGGGAAUAUGCACAAUGGGCGAAAGCCUGAUGCAGCGACGCCGCGUGAGGAUGAAGGCCUUACGGGUUGUAAACCUCUUUCAGCAGGGACGAAGCGACAAGUGACGGUACCUGCAGAAGAAGCACCGGCUAACUACGUGACCAGCAAGCCGA
rnacentral:rRNA from 1 species